UGAAAUUCAUAGCGCUCAAGUUCCUCCACGUACCCCACUCUCGGAACGACAUAACGUACGAAAAUGUCGAUUAAAUCUUUUGAUCAUCACAUAAUACACCUUUUCCGAUUCCGAUUACACCUCCAUUCUACACCUCUCUGAACAAACGCAAUCGGUUCAUCAUCACAAAAAAACCCGAGCAUAUUUUACAAUAAACAGAUUGUAAUUAUUACGCGAUGAACAUGCAAUUGCCCCAAUUCUUCACCGCAAAUAUUAGGAAUACUUAAUCAAAUAAGAACGUCAUCAUCUUCCUACUGAAAGUUUAUUGGCAAUUCUCGCCUGUUAACAACAUGCAUUAUGACUUGGAUUUUUUCAGCUUCUUCAUGGUUGUUAUGGCGUCUAAAAGAUACUGAGCAAUGGAGGGUUAGCAGGAAAUUAUACUCCAACAAAUCUCUUGGUCAUAGCUGUGAAAUUAUUGUAUUUUGAAGAGAUUGCUAUAAACUGGUAGCAUUUCAAAGUACGAUGUCAUAACUAAAAACUUGCUGGUGAAAUUAAGUUGUAUAUUUCACUUUCUAGCACUUAUUAGUAUUUACCAGUCUAUCUAGGGCUACAUUUAUGUUUCUGAUGGAAACAUACUUAUUAAGACAAGCUUAAUUGAUUGGGAUAACUUUGUUUAUGCAGAGCAAUAAAUUUUAAAUAAUGAUCUGGAAGUGAUGGAUGAUUUCUGACAUGUAUAUGUGAUUACUUCAAGUUCAAUCAUAAAAGGGAAUAUGUCACUUUUAGUAGAUCUUAAACCCUUUACACAAGCAAUAACGAAGCAAUCCCAUGAUUUCUCUUCUUUAAAACAAUUCUACUGAUAGUAGUCAAAGCCCUGGUAUGAUUUUGGAAG